UGGGAGAUUGUGUAACGGUAGCACAGGUGACUCUGGAUCACCUAGUCAAGGUUCGAAUCCUUGUCUCCCAGCCA
rnacentral:tRNA from 1 species